AUAACGAAGUUACACUUACAGAGUGUUCACACAAAUAAUUAAUUACGAAGUUUUAAGAGAGCUCUAACCCAUGCGCACAGUAUGUGCUCAUCAGUUAGGGUUUUUAACCCGGACGUGUAAACGUCAUGCUCUUUAACAAUUUGGAAAGCUGAUAAAAUAAGGUAAACAUUAUUGUUUAUUUAAUUUGUUAUUCAACAAUUUAGGAAAAUAAUUUUGAUUAUCACUGUAAGAGAAAACUCAAGCGUUAUUUAUGUCAAAACGAACAUGCCUAUACAACAUGUUUCGUUAAUAAAUAUGACACAAGAUGAUGCAAUCGAGAAUGUGAGAACAUUUAAGGUUGUAUGGUUAAGUGAAUAAGCGUAUACGGUGGAUGCA
rnacentral:misc_RNA from 1 species